AUUGAACGCUGGCGGCAGGCCUAACACAUGCAAGUCGAACGAGUGGCGGACGGGUGAGUAAUGUCUGGGAAACUGCCUGAUGGAGGGGGAUAACUACUGGAAACGGUAGCUAAUACCGCAUACCAUCAGAUGUGCCCAGUUGGGAUUAGCUUGUGGGUGGGGUAACGGCUAACAAAGGCGACGCGCCCUAGCUGGUCUGAGAGGCUGACCGGCCACAAUGGCAUGUAGACACGGUCCAGACUCCUACGUGAGGCAGCAGUGGGGAAUCUUGCACAAUGGGCUCAAGCCUGAUGCAGCCAUGCCGCGUGUAUGAAGAAGGCCUUCGGGUUGUAAAGGACUGUCGGCGGGGAGGCGUUAUCCGCAGAAGAAGCACCGGCUAACUCCGUGCCAGCAGCCGCGGUAAUAC
rnacentral:rRNA from 1 species